rnacentral:tRNA from 1 species
GGGGAUGUAGCUCAGUGGUAGAGUACUUGCCUAGCAUGCUUGAGACACCCUGGGUUCAGUCCCCAGUAACACCC